GACGAACGCUGGCGGCGUGCUUAACACAUGCAAGUCGAACGGAAAGGCCCUGCUUUUGUGGGGUGCUCGAGUGGCGAACGGGUGAGUAACACGUGAGUAACCUGCCCUUGACUUUGGGAUAACUUCAGGAAACUGGGGCUCAUACCGGAUAGGAGCUCCUGCUGCAUGGUGGGGGUUGGAAAGUUUCGGCGGUUGGGGAUGGACUCGCGGCUUAUCAGCUUGUUGGUGGGGUAGUGGCUUACCAAGGCUUUGACGGGUAGCCGGCCUGAGAGGGUGACCGGGCACAUUGGGACUGAGGUACGGCCCAGAAUCCUACGGGAGGCAGCAGUGGGGAAUAUUGCACAAUGGGCGGAAGCCUGAUGCAGCGACGCCGCGUGCGGGAUGACGGCCUUCGGGUUGUAAACCGCUGUCGCCUGUGACGAAGCGUGAGUGACGGUAAUGGGUAAAGAAGCACCGGCUAACUACGUG
rnacentral:rRNA from 1 species